AGAACGAACGCUGGCGGCAGGCUUAACACAUGCAAGUCGAACGGUUGUAGCAAUACAGCAGUGGCAGACGGGUGAGUAACACGUGGGAACCUUCCUAGGGGUACGGAACAACUCAGGGAAACUUGAGCUAAUACCGUAUACGUCCGUGAGGAGAAAGAUUUAUCGCCCCUAGACGGGCCCGCGUAGGAUUAGGUAGUUGGUGAGGUAACGGCUCACCAAGCCUACGAUCCUUAGCUGAUCUGAGAGGAUGAUCAGCCACACUGGGACUGAGACACGGCCCAGACUCCUACGGGAGGCAGCAGUGGGGAAUCUUGGACAAUGGGCGCAAGCCUGAUCCAGCCAUGCCGCGUGAGUGAAGAAGGCCUUCGGGUUGUAAAGCUCUUUUACCAGGGACGAUAAUGACGGUACCUGGAGAAUAAGCCCCGGCAAACUUCGCGCCAGCAGCCGC
rnacentral:rRNA from 1 species